UACAGAGGGUGCGAGCGUUAAUCGGAAUUACUGGGCGUAAAGCGUGCGUAGACGGUUAUGUGAGUCAGGUGUGAAAGCCCCGGGCUCAACCUGGGAAUUGCAUUUGAGACUGCAUAGCUAGGGUGCGGAAGAGGGAAGCGGAAUUUCCGGUGUAGCGGUGAAAUGCGUAGAUAUCGGGAGGAACACCGGUGGCGAAGGCGGCGACCUGGGUAGAUACUUACGCUGAGGCGCGAAAGCGUGGGGAGCAAACAGG
rnacentral:rRNA from 1 species